AGUAUCUUCGGAUAUGAGUAGAGCGGCGGACGGGUGAGUAACGCGUAGGAAUCUACCUAGUAGAAGGGGAUAGCCCGGGGAAACCCGGAUUAAUACCGUAUACCUCCUUCGGGAGAAAGAAGGCCUCUCUUUGAAGCUUUCGCUAUUAGAUGAGCCUGCGUAAGAUUAGCUUGUUGGUGAGGUAAAGGCUCACCAAGGCGACGAUCUUUAGCUGGUCUGAGAGGACGAUCAGCCACAUUGGGACUGAGACACGGCCCAGACUCCUACGGGAGGCAGCAGUGGGGAAUAUUGGACAAUGGGCGCAAGCCUGAUCCAGCCAUACCGCGUGUGUGAAGAAGGCCUUCGGGUUGUAAAGCACUUUAAGCAGGGAGAAAAAGUUAUAAGUUAAUACCUUAUAACCUUGAUGUUACCUGCAGAAUAAGCACCGGCUAAUUCCGUGCCAGCAGCCGCGGUAAUACGGAAGGUGCAAGCGUUAAUCGGAAUUACUGGGCGUAAAGCGCGCGUAGGUGGUUUGUUAAGUUGGAUGUGAAAGCCCUGGGCUCAACCUAGGAACUGCAUCCAAAACUAACUCACUAGAGUACGAUAGAGGGAGGUAGAAUUCAUAGUGUAGCGGUGGAAUGCGUAGAUAUUAUGAAGAAUACCAGUGGCGAAGGCGGCCUCCUGGAUCUGUACUGACACUGAGGUGCGAAAGCGUGGGUAGCGAACAGGAUUAGAUACCCUGGUAGUCCACGCCGUAAACGAUGACAACUAGCUGUUGGGAGACAAAGUCUUUCAGUGGCGCAGCUAACGUUUUAAGUUGUCCGCCUGGGGAGUACGGCCGCAAGGCUAAAACUCAAAUGAAUUGACGGGGACCCGCACAAGCGGUGGAGCAUGUGGUUUAAUUCGAUGCAACGCGAAAAACCUUACCUACUCUUGACAUACUUGGGAGCUCUUGUAAUGAGAGUGUGCCUUUUGGAACCAAGAUACAGGUGCUGUAUGGCUGUCGUCAGCUCGUGUCGUGAGAUGUUCCGUUAAGUCGGAUAACGAGCGCAACCCUUACCCUUAUUUGC
rnacentral:rRNA from 1 species